GACGAACGCUGGCGGCGUGCCUAAUACAUGCAAGUUGAGCGCUGAAGGUUGGUACUUGUACCGACUGGAUGAGCAGCGAACGGGUGAGUAACGCGUGGGGAAUCUGCCUUUGAGCGGGGGACAACAUUUGGAAACGAAUGCUAAUACCGCAUAAAAACUUUAAACACAAGUUUUAAGUUUGAAAGAUGCAAUUGCAUCACUCAAAGAUGAUCCCGCGUUGUAUUAGCUAGUUGGUGAGGUAAAGGCUCACCAAGGCGAUGAUACAUGGCCGACCUGAGAGGGUGAUCGGCCACAUUUGGACUGAGACACGGCCCAAACUCCUACGGGAGGCAGCAGUAGGGAAUCUUCGGCAAUGGACGAAAGUCUGACCGAGCAACGCCGCGUGAGUGAAGAAGGUUUUCGGAUCGUAAAACUCUGUUGGUAGAGAAGAACGUUGGUGAGAGUGGAAAGCUCAUCAAGUGACGGUAACUACCCAGAAAGGGACGGCUAACUACGUG
rnacentral:rRNA from 1 species